UACGUAGGGACCAAGCGUUGUUCGGAUUUACUGGGCGUAAAGGGCGCGUAGGCGGCUUGACAAGUCACUUGUGAAAUCUCCGGGCUUAACUCGGAACGGCCAAGUGAAACUGUCAUGCUAGAGUGCAGAAGGGGCAAUCGGAAUUCUUGGUGUAGCGGUGAAAUGCGUAGAUAUCAAGAGGAACACCUGAGGUGAAGACGGGUUGCUGGGCUGACACUGACGCUGAGGCGCGAAAGCGUGGGGAGCAAACAGG
rnacentral:rRNA from 1 species